CUUCAUUUAGCCAAGCCAAGCAGACAGUCUCCACUCUUUGGGAACCCUCACAGAAGCAGGUGAAUGUCUAUAUCCCCAUCUUGAAGAUGAGGAAAUUGAAGCCCAGAGAAUUAAGUAAUUUCUCCAUAAUGACACAGCUCUUAAGUGGGCAAGGUUUGACAACAUAGAUAAAUUAUUUUGAUCACCAAAAUGAACGACUCCUCCCCAGCAAAGUACACUUUAAGAAAAGUAUCAAGCAAGAGGAAUUUGCUGUUAAGGUUCAUUUUUCUUGCAAAUACAUUUCCUCUGGUUGGAAAGAGGAAACAAGCUUUCCUCCUCUGCUCCACACACCACAGAAGAAAGGGCAUGAAGAGGAAGUGAAGUGUGGGCUCCUGAUACAGAGCUCCUAAAACUCUUGAAAUCUGUAGAGCAGUGAGAGUACUUCUGGUAUGCUAAUGAGAUGAUUCUUGGCUCAGGGUCCCCUAAAGCUUCAGGAUAGAGGCUCAUCCCCCAGAAGAUCAACCACCUGAUUAGAGUUUGGAACCUGAAGCCCCCUUCCCAGACCCUUGGAAAGGGAGGAGGAGCUGGACUUUGAGUUAAUUACCAAUGGCUGAUGAGUUAAUCAUGCCUUCUUAAUGGAGCCUGCGAGGGAAAUUCUAGAAGAAUGGUGAACACAUUGAGGUGAACUUGGAAAGGGCUCAGAAGAUCUAUGGCCCUACACAACU